CUCCUCCUCCUGCAGGUAUGGGCGCUUCACCUGAAGGGACAAAAACGAGACAGGGAAGACCCUCCAGUAGCAGCCGGCAUUAAGUUAUGGGCAAUUCAGUGGUAAAAGCAAGCAGUGAUGCAAUCAAUUUGCAGAGAUCUUGGUUCCCACUCAACUCAUGAUGGGAUGCAGCUCUUUUGUCAUUAACUUGGAGCAGGCUCAAAUGUUGCUGACUUCAUCUUCAUUUUUAUUCUUGGAAGUGCAUUCUGUUGGCAGUUGAUUUGUGAGAACUGACACCAAACGGCUGAUGGAUGGCACCAUGUUGUUAAGGAACACAGGGCAGGAUAGAAGGAGUUUGCUGUAAAACUCUGAAACGUUAAGGUACGGUGUUUCUGACAUGAAAAUAUAAAAGCUAUCAAGCAAAGAAAAGUGCUGAUGUAAAUAAAGACUAAUGCCUCUUGUGCUUUGAUCUAAAGCAGGGGAAGUGUUCAGAUUAUGUCUACUGUA